rnacentral:rRNA from 1 species
GAUGAACGCUGGCGGCGUGCUUAACACAUGCAAGUCGAACGAAGCACCUUGAUUUGAUUCUUCGGAUGAAGAUCUUGGUGACUGAGUGGCGGACGGGUGAGUAACGCGUGGGUAACCUGCCUCAUACAGGGGGAUAACAGUUAGAAAUGACUGCUAAUACCGCAUAAGACCACAGCACCGCAUGGUGCAGGGGUAAAAACUCCGGUGGUAUGAGAUGGACCCGCGUCUGAUUAGGUAGUUGGUGGGGUAACGGCCUACCAAGCCGACGAUCAGUAGCCGACCUGAGAGGGUGACCGGCCACAUUGGGACUGAGACACGGCCCAAACUCCUACGGGAGGCAGCAGUGGGGAAUAUUGCACAAUGGGGGAAACCCUGAUGCAGCGACGCCGCGUGAGCGAUGAAGUAUUUCGGUAUGUAAAGCUCUAUCAGCAGGGAAGAAAAUGACG